ACGGAAGGCAGCAGUGGGGGAUAUUGCACAAUGGGGGAAACCCUGAUGCAGCGACGCCGCGUGAGUGAUGAAGUAUUUCGGUAUGUAAAGCUCUAUCAGCAGGAAAGAUAAUGACGGUACCUGACUAAGAAGCACCGGCUAAAUACGUGCCAGCAGCCGCGGUAAUACGUAUGGUGCAAGCGUUAUCCGGAUUUACUGGGUGUAAAGGGAGCGCAGACGGCAUGGCAAGCCAGAUGUGAAAGGCAGGGGCUCAACUCCUGGACUGCAUUUGGAACUGUCAAGCUAGAGUAUCGGAGAGGUAAGUGGAAUUCCUAGUGUAGCGGUGAAAUGCGUGGAUAUUAGGAGGAACACCAGUGGCGAAGGCGGCUUACUGGACGAUAACUGACGCUGAGGCUCGAAAGCGUGGGGAGCAAACAGGAUUAGAUACCCUGGUA
rnacentral:rRNA from 1 species